rnacentral:rRNA from 1 species
UACGGAGGGAGCUAGCGUUGUUCGGAAUUACUGGGCGUAAAGCGCGCGUAGGCGGCUUUGUAAGUUAGAGGUGAAAGCCCGGGGCUCAACCCCGGAACUGCCUUUAAGACUGCAUCGCUUGAAUCCAGGAGAGGUGAGUGGAAUUCCGAGUGUAGAGGUGAAAUUCGUAGAUAUUCGGAAGAACACCAGUGGCGAAGGCGGCUCACUGGACUGGUAUUGACGCUGAGGUGGCGAAAAGCGUGGGGAGCAAACAGG